AUUCAACUGAUGAGUCCCAAAUAGGACGAAGUGAUGGAGGUCCUAGAU
rnacentral:hammerhead_ribozyme from 1 species